AUGCAUCUCUUUGACAGACUUGGAGCAGUUAUUGUCUGCUGCUAAAGUUUCCACUACAGAUGCAAGAACAAAAUGUCCUCCUGCUUUUUGUCUGUCUGAUUGUGGAAGCCAAGAUCGAAUAAUACAGGGGAGAGAAGAA
rnacentral:snoRNA from 1 species